rnacentral:misc_RNA from 1 species
UAUUUGAAGAACAUUGAGAAACUUGCAGAGGCUGAAGUCUCAGAUGCUAAAAGACUUGUCAGGAAGCUCUCUAAAAAUAGAUUCCGAAGCAUGUUGAGUGGAUUAUGGCAUUCUUGAAUGAAUUUUUUUUCCCUUUUAUUAGCUUCUUUUUCACUGUAUAUUUUACCUAAGUGGUAUCAAAGUUUUUGCACUUUGUGUCUCAAUCUCAAAUAUCAGAGCUCAAAUAUUAGAGUCUUCUCUAUGUUUUUCCUCUCAAGUUUUUCUUAUUCCCAUCUGCCCCCCUCACACCACACCACACCACCCCCUC